rnacentral:lncRNA from 1 species
AUACUCUUUCAUUGCGAUAUGCAGCAUAUAUUACAGCAAAUGUACGUUGUGUUUUCAAAUGCUGCUGAGAAGGUGUAGGCAAUAGACCAGCAUGAUUUCUCCUAGACACGCUUCUACCUGUGGUGGUGCAGAGCAGGGACUGAAGAAUUCCUGGCUCCCUUCCUCUUCCUCCUGUGUUAUGAGUGGCUGACCUCAUGUGUGCUCAUCCACAUCUCACAGCCAGGCAUUUGGAAGGGCGGCCAUCCAAAUAGAUAAGGGUGAUCCCUGCUGCUGGGCUUCUGCUGGGAAGCUCCUUUACUUUGGUUUGCUUUGACAUUUGUUUUUGAAAGCAGUUUAAUUUAAGAGGGCGGUUCCUUUGCUUGCAAAAUAUUUUAGGACUGUCUUUAGGUAAUCUGUCUAUAAUGUGAACUAGUUUUCAGCUGUUCCAUUACUCUGUGGUAUGGGGCAAUGAACAAGUGCUUGGGGAUGGCACUCAUGAGCACUUAGGACCUGUUAGCCUCCCUGAUUUUCUGAAACCAUAUUUCUGGUUGAAAUAUGAAAGCAUAUUUCCAAUGCUGUAACUAAUAAAACUGAGGGGCUUAUAUGUUGCCUCAAGUUGCACCAGGGGAGGUUUAGGUUGGAUGUCAGGAAAAACUUCUUUACAGAAAGGGUGGUUAAGCAGUGGAAUAGGCUCGCCAGGGAGGUGGUUGAGUCACCAUCCCUGGAUGUGUGUAAAAACCGUUUGGAUGUGGUGCUCAGGGACAUGAUUUAGUGGAGGGUUGUUAGAGUUAGGGUAGUAUGGUUAGGUUGUGGUUGGACUUGAUGAUCUUUAAGUUCUUUUCCAACCUGAGCAAUUCUAUGAUUCUAUGAUUCUUUGAUCUUUUAAUCCAUCAUCAAGGUCUUCCUUUAUCUGGCAACACAUGAAGUUUGCAGUAAUGUGACAAGAGAGAAAUAGAGAUGUUCUUCUAACAUACAUGCAUUGCUGGAGAGAAUUGUUUUCUUCAAGGUGCCUGUUAUAAUGCUAUGAUAUUGGUUCUAGGAGAAAAACACUGUUGAUAACACACCAAAGUUUAUAGUUGCUGCUAAGCAGUACUGUACAGAGCCAAGACCAUUUCCAGCAAAGGGCCCAAGGAGCUGAGAGGGAACAGAAUUAGGACAAUUGACUGAAACUGGCCAAAGGGAUAUGCCACACCAUAUGACAUCAUGUGGAAGGAGUUUUGAAGGAGGUGGGAGGGCAUCUCACUCUCUUCUGCUGCUCGGGGAUCUAGCUGGGCAUUGGUUGGGGGGUGGCGAGCAAUUUCUCGUACAUCACUCAUUAUAUACAUUUAUAUAUAUUUGCCAUAAUAAUUAUCCUUUUCCUUUAUCUUAGUAAACAGUUUAUCUCAAUCCUUGAGUUCUACUUUGUGGGGUUUUUUUUCAGUUCUCUCCUCC